GACUGAAGUAGUUGUAUAGGGACGGCACUCGUCAAACUUUUAUGACCCCCUCCCCCACCCGGUGACAGUUGCUGUCUGACAGGUCGUUUUUAUGACCCUUUGACAGGGGGGCGGGACCAUCAAUCAAAAUCUGGACAAGUUGUCAACUUUAGACAGAAAGUAUUUAAUGGUUUUAUUGCCGGUCAUUUAGAGUGAUUGUUUUUCCUGAGUGUGUUUUAUGUUAAGCGUAUGGUGUCAUGUUUAAUGACGGCUCGUGUUUCGACAUUUACUGUUUAUUGACAUUUGAUGUCAGAUCUCAACCAUCCUCCCACCUUUGCUCGCCCCGUGCGCUUCUCAAUACUGACUUUCACACCGCGGGUGUGUUGUUGAAUCUAAAGUUUUGCAACAGCAUAAGUUUAUUUAAAGGCAAUCACUAAUCAUAUAUAUAUAUAUAUAUAUAUUAGAUGUACCAGGCUACGCUUAAAGCCGAUGUUUUCUAUCGAGCUAUAGUUUCUGAUCAGACACAAAGUCUGAACUAAAUAAAAUUUUAAACGGUUCACGAAGUCCGGGAAUCUUUUCAUGACCUGGUCUACAGUUUCACGCGUAUUAAAGAUCCGGCGGUGUCUGACAAAGCGUCGGGUGAUUGUUCAUAUCUGUCAUUUAAAAUAAAGUUAAUAAAUGUAAUUCUGUCCACUAUGGCAAAAUAGGAAUUUAUUUUAGAUUUAGGGGAAUCUUUAACCAUGUCUCUGAUUAAAACUUUUGAUUGUAACAUCACAAGUUAUUUAAUUAAAUAUUCUGUAUACGGGUAUAGUUUAAGCAAUGACCUGAGCCAUUACCUUCGGAGCCGUCAAUACUACAUUCUUUAGACGAUAGUCUAAACUAAAUAAAAUUUUUAAACGGUUCAGGAAUUCCGUGAAUCUUUUCAUAACCUGCACUAUAGUUUCACGCGUAUUAAAGAUCCAGCGGUGCCUGACAAAGCGCCGGGUGAGUGUUCAUAUCUGCCAUUUUAAAAUAAUGUUAAUAAAUGUAAUUCUGUCCACUAUGGCAAAAUAGGAUUUUAUUUUAGAUUUAGUGGAAUCUUUAACCAAGUCUCUGAUUAAGACAUGUGUAUACGUGCACAGAUGGUGACAGAGAAACUUAUAUAUGACGUUAAUAAUCUUUUAAAUGUUUUUAAGACGUAUUCACCCCAUUUUGGGGUUUUAUUUUUAAUUAAAGGCUUCUUAAAACAUGUGUGAAUAUGUGUGUAUUAUACAAAGAGUCUUAUAUUGUCUGCUCUGACAAAAAUAAAGUCUUUUUUAGGUUUAGGGGAAUUGACUGCGUGUGUCUUAUAAAUACAACUUGAUAAUAUGUUUGUUUUGUAAAGAGACUUCUUUAAAGUCACGCAAGAAUAAAAUAUUUUAGUUGUAACUGGUUAAACUUAAAGCCGAUAUUUUCUAUCGAACUAGUCUAUUUUCUGUUCAGACACAAAGUUUUCUGAUGCUGAUAUUAUGUCAGUGUGUGUUUGUGUGGGGGUCGUGUGAUGUAAUCUUUGAAAGUUUAUGACCGAACCUUUAUUGGGGAGCGACAAGAGAUCUCCCGGAAUCAGUUUGGAUGGAGCAGAGCUGUUAUACUCAAGUCUGUUGCGAAAUUGUCUAAACUGGUAUUAACUAUUCCUGGUAAAUCGCGGAGAAGAGUGGCCUGAACAAAAAAGUCAGACCGAGACUAGAACCUCCCGCAGCGUAACACGGAAAUCUUGGAACAAAAGAGACGCCGACUGGCUCGUGUUGUCCGGUUUGGAUAUCAGAGGCAAAGCGAACGUUGUGUGUACUAUUGCAAAAUAUAUAGCGGAUCUCCACGGUUAGGAUACAGACCACGACGCUUUGGACGUAUCUUUAAAAAAGAUUAAAAUCAGAGACUUUUUGGAUUUGUCUGGGGACAUUUUAAACAUUUUGUGGCAAAUUGGAUUUAAAACAUUUCGGAUACUGGAUACCUAGUUUGAUUUGUCCACAGAGCUUGUUUAAGACGUUUUCACCGCAUUUUAGGGUUUAUUUUUAAUUAAAGGCUUCUUAAAACAUGUGUGAAAAUGUGUAUAUUAUACAAUGAGUCUUAUAUUGUCUGCUCUGACAUAAAUAAAUUUUUAUAUUAGAUUUUA